ACGCUCGACACCUACGGGAGCCAGCAGUUGGGAAUAUUGGACAAUGGAGGAAACUCUGAUCCAGUGACGCCGCGUGAAGGAAGAAGGUCUUCGGAUUGUAAACUUAUUUUGUCAGGGAAGAAAAAAUGACUGUACCUGAAGAAAAAGCACCGGCUAACUACGUGCCGGCAGCCGCGGUAAUCUGAGCGGGCUGGCAAGGC
rnacentral:rRNA from 1 species